GUACCCUCAAGCUCUGCUUGGUGUUGGGUGUUUGUCCUCUCCUCUGCGUUUGGACUCGCCUUAAAGCAAUUGGCAGCCGGUAUUUUGGUAUUGAAGCGCAGUACAUUUUGCGAUUCUGGCCGAUAAUACUUGCGUCCAUAAGCCCUUUUAAC
rnacentral:misc_RNA from 1 species